GAAAUAUAAUACAAUUAAGCUGCUAACUUAAUUUAUAGUGAUUAAACUCAUUAAUAUUUCU
rnacentral:tRNA from 1 species